AUGGUUUGGAAGGCUUGGGCACCUUCAAAAAUCAAAUUCUUUGCUUGGUUGGCGCUUCAAGAUAGAAUUUGGACCGCCGAUAGGUUGGCAAAGCGUGGGUGGCCAAAUUGUGAUUUUUGGCCUUUUUGCAAGAGGGUGCAAGAAUGCGGACCUCACCUCUUCUACAAAUGCCGCUAUACUCGAAGGCUUUGGUCAUUGGUCAUCAAGAAAUUCCUCAUUCUCGGGCUAGACACUUCUGCUUGGCCCUUCUUUGAGUCGGUUAAAGAUUGGUGGGCGAGUACUUGCGCCGACGGCACGCCAAACCGACAAGCCAAGGCAUCCCUCACCAUGCUCGUGUCAUGGAUAAUUUGGAACGAGCGUAACGCAAGAGUUUUCAAACAUAAGAGUGCUCCACCGACAAUCUUGCUCUCCUCCAUCUCUAGUGAGGCCAACCUUUGGAUCGUCGCCGGUGCAAAAAAGCUAGGGUCUUUAAUUUUGCGGGAAUAA
rnacentral:rRNA from 1 species